AUACGGAGGGUGCAAGCGUUACUCGGAAUUUCUGGGCGUAAAGGGUGCGUAGGCGGCUUGAUAAGUCGGAUGUGAAAGCCCCGGGCUUAACCUGGGAAUUGCAUUCGAUACUGUCAGGCUAGAGUAUGUCAGAGGUUGGCGGAAUUCCUGGUGUAGCGGUGAAAUGCGUAGAUAUCAGGAGGAACACCAGUGGCGAAGGCGGCUAACUGGGGCAAUACUGACGCUGAGGCACGAAAGCGUGGGGAGCAAACAGGAUUAGAAACCCUGGUAGUCC
rnacentral:rRNA from 1 species